rnacentral:rRNA from 1 species
UACGAAGGGUGCAAGCGUUAAUCGGAAUUACUGGGCGUAAAGCGAGUGUAGGUGGUUGUCCAAGUUGGAUGUGAAAGCCUUGAGCUCAACUCAAGAAAUGCAUUCAGGACUGGGCGGCUAGAGGACCGGAGAGGAUAGUGGAAUUCCCAGUGUAGUGGUGAAAUACGUAGAGAUCGGGAGGAACACCAGUGGCGAAGGCGGCCUUCUGGACCAAUACUGACGCUCAUGCACGAAAGCGUGGGGAGCAAACAGG